rnacentral:rRNA from 1 species
UUAAAUUGCUGUGGUAUUUUGACUAUACACAGUUAUUGCAAUAGAUUUUAUUGAUGCUAAGAGAAUGGACUCUCAGAGAAAAACUUUUUUUAAAUUAAAAAUUGAAAUUUUUUUAAUUUGUGCAGAAACAAUUAUUAAUAUUAAGGACAAGAAGACCCUAUGAAUUUAUUAAAUUUCAUUCAAUAUGUAAUUACUAUUGAAGAAAUUUUGGCUGGGGCGGCUAAAAAAUAUUUUAAACUUUUUAAAAAUAAAAUGAUCCAUUAUUAAUGAUUAUAUGUUAAAUACUCUAGGGAUAACAGCGUUAUAUUUUUUGAUAGACCAUAUUGACAAAAAAGUUUGCGACCUCGAUGUUGGAUUAGGAUACUUUUUUAAUGCAGAUAUUAAAAAAAGAAGUUUGUUCAACUUUCAAUUUCCUACAUGAUCUGAGUUCAGACCGG